rnacentral:rRNA from 1 species
GACGAACGCUGGCGGCGUGCUUAACACAUGCAAGUCGUACGGUAAGGCCCUUUCGGGGGUACACGAGUGGCGAACGGGUGAGUAACACGUGAGUAACCUGCCCACAACUUUGGGAUAACGCUAGGAAACUGGUGCUAAUACUGGAUAUGUGCUCCUGCUGCAUGGUGGGGGUUGGAAAGCUCCGGCGGUUGUGGAUGGACUCGCGGCCUAUCAGCUUGUUGGUGGGGUAGUGGCCUACCAAGGCGGCGACGGGUAGCCGGCCUGAGAGGGUGACCGGCCACAUUGGGACUGAGAUACGGCCCAGACUCCUACGGGAGGCAGCAGUGGGGAAUAUUGCACAAUGGGCGCAAGCCUGAUGCAGCAACGCCGCGUGCGGGAUGACGGCCUUCGGGUUGUAACCGCUUUCAGCAGGGACGAAGCUUUUUGUGACGGUACCUGCAGAAGAAGCACCGGCUAACUACGUG